UAUCUAAAGCAUCUCAGAUAAACGUUACUCAAUGCUGCUUGUUUCAAAAUGUUUAACGUUACACAGUUUGAUUUGGUGGAUUAUUAUGCUUAAAAUCCCAGGUAGGCGAUUUUUGUUCCAUUUUUACCCUGAAAGCCCAUCCAUCAGGAAAUGAUGCUGCUGAGUGCUGAGCAUCGUAGCGGUCAGUCAGAUGAGCUCCUAAAUGGUUUGAUUUAAAUGAAUGGACAAAUGCAAGCUGUGUCUUUUUAAGGCAUUUACCAUCAUCCUUUUCAUGCGCUCCAUCUACUUUCAGCUCAGUUCUUUUGACCUUACAAUCUGCAGAUGGGCGGUUCUAGCAAUGGAAAUGAAUAGAUCUAUGGGGAUUUUCAUGAGCUUGGGAUUGCAAUUCAUGAAUCCGUUAAUAAUUUGCAACAACGUACUUUCCUGGCUCCUAAACAAAUAUCAGAACACUGUUUUCUCCCAAGGGAUCCUGUGGGGAAUACGAAUUGUAUUCCAUGGAGUUCUGGACCCUUGCCUUCUGUCAUUCCAUUACCCAAACUUUUCUGGGUAACCAAAGGCCAACACUCGGGAGGAUUGAGCCUCUUACUAUGUCCAUCCAAGGCUCAAAGGAAGGCCCUGUCCCCCAAUUUAGCAGAACAGAUACAACUAGGCUAGUUAAUAUGGCCAGGCCAGCCGGCUUGCGAGUACUGUCUUUCCGCUCUCCCCAAACAGGGUGAAUAACCGAAGCUGGUUUUGCUUUUUGGUGUUUUUUCUUGCGAUAAAAGAACUCCUUUCUCCUACGCUUUUCGAUUAAAAGCAACUAAAGUUUGCAUUUUAAUAUGGUGGUUGACCUAGUAGUUUGUUCAAUUUUAUUACUAUUAUAUCCUAGGAUAGCUGAAUGAAUCUAUCUUGGGGUAGGCCAAUACUGUGGAAAUGAUAAUCCACA